AUCCAGCUGAUGAGUCCCGAAUGGCACGGAACGCGCGUCCUGGAU
rnacentral:hammerhead_ribozyme from 1 species